rnacentral:rRNA from 1 species
GACAGAGGAUGCAAGCGUUAUCCGGAAUGAUUGGGCGUAAAGCGUCUGUAGGUGGCUUUUUAAGUCCGCCGUCAAAUCCCAGGGCUCAACCCUGGACAGGCGGUGGAAACUACCAAGCUGGAGUACGGUAGGGGCAGAGGGAAUUUCCGGUGGAGCGGUGAAAUGCGUAGAGAUCGGAAAGAACACCCGUGGCGAAGGCGGCUCUCUGGGACGGUACUGACGCUGAGACGCGCAAAGCGUGGGAGGCGAACGAGG